rnacentral:rRNA from 1 species
AUUGAACGCUGGCGGCAGGCCUAACACAUGCAAGUCGAGCGGAUGAAGGGAGCUUGCUCCUGGAUUCAGCGGCGGACGGGUGAGUAAUGCCUAGGAAUCUGCCUGGUAGUGGGGGAUAACGUCCGGAAACGGGCGCUAAUACCGCAUACGUCCUGAGGGAGAAAGUGGGGGAUCUUCGGACCUCACGCUAUCAGAUGAGCCUAGGUCGGAUUAGCUAGUUGGUGGGGUAAAGGCCUACCAAGGCGACGAUCCGUAACUGGUCUGAGAGGAUGAUCAGUCACACUGGAGCUGAGACACGGUCCAGACUCCUACGGGAGGCAGCAGUGGGGAAUAUUGGACAAUGGGCGAAAGCCUGAUCCAGCCAUGCCGCGUGUGUGAAGAAGGUCUUCGGAUUGUAAAGCACUUUAAGUUGGGAGGAAGGGCAGUAAGUUAAUACCUUGCUGUUUUGACGUUACCAACAGAAUAAGCACCGGCUAACUUCAUG